UAUUUUUGAAAAAUUGAAACAAUUAGGUCACUGACAUUAGUUCCAUACUAACACCGUUAAAAAGGGCGACACGUGUCAGCUCGUGAUUUUUUUGAAUUUUUUAAAUAUAUUUUUAAUUAUUUUUAUUUUUAAUUUUAAUUUUUUUUAUUUAUUUAAAAUAAAUUGCCACGUGUCAAGUUGACAUUGAGCCACAUGGCAAUGACAAUGUGAGGUGACACUGAUAGUGCCACGUGUCACUAUCAAACCACGUGUCAUUAGAUUUGUCUCAAUUUGGUC
rnacentral:lncRNA from 1 species